CCUACGAGCGGCAGCAGUGGGGAAUAUUGGACAAUGGGGGCAACCCUGAUCCAGCCAUGCCGCGUGUGUGAAGAAGGCCCUCGGGUUGUAAAGCACUUUCAGUGAGGAAGAACGCCUGGUGGUUAAUACCCAUCAGGAAAGACAUCACUCACAGAAGAAGCACCGGCUAACUCCGUGCCAGCAGCCGCGGUAAUACGGAGGGUGCGAGCGUUAAUCGGAAUUACUGGGCGUAAAGCGCGCGUAGGUGGCUUGAUAAGCCGGUUGUGAAAGCCCCGGGCUCAACCUGGGAACGGCAUCCGGAACUGUCAAGCUAGAGUGCAGGAGAGGAAGGUAGAAUUCCCGGUGUAGCGGUGAAAUGCGUAGAGAUCGGGAGGAAUACCAGUGGCGAAGACGGCCUUCUGGACUGACACUGACACUGAGGUGCGAAAGCGUGGGUAGCAAACAGGAUUAGAUACCCUAGUAGUC
rnacentral:rRNA from 1 species